UCCCUGGUGGCUCAGUCAGUAAAGAAUCUGCCUGCAAUGCAGGAGACCCAGGUUUGAUCCCUGGGUGGGGAA
rnacentral:tRNA from 1 species